CACAAGGGGGAAUUGCCAUCAGUACGGCGAGUGAAGCGGCAACAGCUCAAAUUUGAAAGCUAGCCUUCGGGUUCGCAUUGUAAUUUGUAGAGGAUGAUUUGGGGAAGCCGCCUGUCUAAGUUCCUUGGAACAGGACGUCAUAGAGGGUGAGAAUCCCGUAUGUGACAGGAAAUGGCACCCUAUGUAAAUCUCCUUCGACGAGUCGAGUUGUUUGGGAAUGCAGCUCUAAAUGGGAGGUAAAUUUCUUCUAAAGCUAAAUAUUGGCGAGAGACCGAUAGCGCACAAGUAGAGUGAUCGAAAGAUGAAAAGCACUUUGGAAAGAGAGUUAAAAAGCACGUGAAAUUGUUGAAAGGGAAGCGCUUGCAAUCAGACUUGUUUAAACUGUUCGGCCGGUCUUCUGACCGGUUUACUCAGUUUGGACAGGCCAGCAUCAGUUUCGGCGGCCGGAUAAAGGCUCUGGGAAUGUGGCCUCCACUUCGGUGGAGGUGUUAUAGCCCAGGGUGUAAUACGGCCAGCCGGGACUGAGGUCCGCGCUUCGGCUAGGAUGCUGGCGUAAUGGUUGUAAGCGACCCGUCUGAAAACCCGGACCAAAAAAGCCACAAGGCGGGGCCCCGCGGGGAGGCGGAAGGGGACAGGAGGAACAAAGACAGGAAACCAUUAAGUAAAAGAGAUCUACUCCGGC
rnacentral:rRNA from 1 species